GAUGAACGCUGGCGGCGUGCCUAAUACAUGCAAGUCGAGCGAACAGACGAGGAGCUUGCUCCUCUGACGUUAGCGGCGGACGGGUGAGUAACACGUGGAUAACCUACCUAUAAGACUGGGAUAACUUCGGGAAACCGGAGCUAAUACCGGAUAAUAUAUUGAACCGCAUGGUUCAAUAGUGAAAGACGGUUUUGCUGUCACUUAUAGAUGGAUCCGCGCCGCAUUAGCUAGUUGGUAAGGUAACGGCUUACCAAGGCAACGAUGCGUAGCCGACCUGAGAGGGUGAUCGGCCACACUGGAACUGAGACACGGUCCAGACUACUACGGGAGGCAGCAGUAGGGAAUCUUCCGCAAUGGGCGAAAGCUUGACGGAGCAACGCCGCGUGAGUGAUGAAGGUCUUCGGAUCGUAAAACUCUGUUAUUAGGGAAGAACAAAUGUGUAAGUAACUAUGCACGGCUUGACGGUACCUAAUCAGAAAGCCACGGCUAACUACGUG
rnacentral:rRNA from 1 species